rnacentral:snRNA from 1 species
AUACUUACCUGGCAGGGGAGAUACCAUGAUCACGAAGGUGGUUUUCCCAGGGCGAGGCUUAUCUAUUGCACUCCGGAUGUGCUGACUCCUGCGAUUUCCCCAAAUGUGGGAAACUCGACUGCAUAAUUUGUGGUAGUGGGGGACUGCGUUCGCGCUUUCCCCUG